UACGAACCACACGAACGUUAUUCGGAAUCACUGGGCUUAAAGGGUGCGUAGGCUGCGCAGCAAGUUGGGUGUGAAAUCCCUCGGCUCAACCGAGGAACUGCGCCCAAAACUGCUGUGCUCGAGGGAGACAGAGGUGAGCGGAACUUAGGGUGGAGCGGUGAAAUGCGUUGAUAUCCUAAGGAACACCCGUGGCGAAAGCGGCUCACUGGGUCUCUUCUGACGCUGAGGCACGAAAGCUAGGGUAGCGAACGGG
rnacentral:rRNA from 1 species